UACAGAGGUCUCAAGCGUUGUUCGGAUUCAUUGGGCGUAAAGGGUGUGUAGGUGGCGCCGUAAGUCGGGUGUGAAAUUUCGGAGCUUAACUCCGAAAACUGCAUUCGAUACUGCGGUGCUUGAGGACUGGAGAGGAGACUGGAAUUCAUGGUGUAGCAGUGAAAAUGCGUAGAGAUCAUGAGGAAGACCAGUGCGAAGGCGGGUCUCUGGGACAGUUCUGACACUGAGACACGAAGGCCAGGGGAGCAAAACAGG
rnacentral:rRNA from 1 species